rnacentral:rRNA from 1 species
GACGAAGGUGGCAAGCGUUGUUCGGAAUCACUGGGCAUAAAGCGCGCGUAGGCGGCCAAGUAAGUCAGGUGUGAAAUACCUCGGCUCAACCGAGGAACUGCGCCUGAUACUGUUUGGCUUGAGGGUUGGAGGGGAGAGUGGAAUUCCCGGUGGAGCGGUGAAAUGCGUAGAGAUCGGGAAGAACGCCGGCGGCGAAAGCGACUCUCUGGUCAACUUCUGACGCUGAGGCGCGAAAGCUAGGGGAGCAAACGGG